GGGUCAAUGAUGAGAACUCAUAAAGUCUCAAAGACAGAUGAUUACCUACAAAUUAUGCUCAAUAGGAUUAAGCUGAGGCCC
ensembl:snoRNA SNORD115 Small nucleolar RNA SNORD115